UACAGAGGUCUCAAGCGUUGUUCGGAUUCAUUGGGCGUAAAGGGUGCGUAGGUGGCGCCGUAAGUCGGGUGUGAAAUUUCGGGGCUUAACUCGGAAAGGUCAACCGAUACUGCGGGGCUAGAGUGCAGAAGGGGCAACUGGAAUUCUCGGUGUAGCGGUGAAAUGCGUAGAUAUCGAGAGGAACACCUGCGGCGAAGGCAGCCCCCUGGGCUAACACUGACGCUCAUGCACGAAAGCGUGGGGAGCAAACAGG
rnacentral:rRNA from 1 species